UACGUAGGGUCCGAGCGUUGUCCGGAAUUAUUGGGCGUAAAGGGCUCGUAGGCGGUCCGUCACGUCGGGUGUGAAAUCCUGGGGCUCAACCCCGGGACUGCAUUCGAUACUGUCAGGCUAGAGGUAGGUAGGGGAGAUCGGAAUUCCUGGUGUAGCGGUGAAAUGCGCAGAUAUCAGGAGGAACACCGGUGGCGAAGGCGGAUCUCUGGGCCUUACCUGACGCUCAGGCGCGAAAGCUAGGGGAGCGAACAGG
rnacentral:rRNA from 1 species